AUUGAACGCUGGCGGCAUGCCUUACACAUGCAAGUCGAACGGCAGCACGGGAGCAAUCCUGGUGGCGAGUGGCGAACGGGUGAGUAAAGUAUCGGAACGUGCCCAGUCGUGGGGGAUAACGUAGCGAAAGUUACGCUAAUACCGCAUACGAUCUAUGGAUGAAAGCGGGGGAUCGCAAGACCUCGCGCGAUCGGAGCGGCCGAUAUCAGAUUAGGUAGUUGGUGGGGUAAAGGCUCACCAAGCCGACGAUCUGUAGCUGGUCUGAGAGGACGACCAGCCACACUGGGACUGAGACACGGCCCAGACUCCUACGGGAGGCGGCAGUGGGGAAUUUUGGACAAUGGGCGCAAGCCUGAUCCAGCCAUGCCGCGUGCAGGAUGAAGGCCUUCGGGUUGUAAACUGCUUUUGUACGGAACGAAAAGGUUUGACUUAAUACGUUGGACUCAUGACGGUACCGUAAGAAUAAGCACCGGCUAACUACGUGCCAGCAGCCGCCGUAA
rnacentral:rRNA from 1 species